UAAGCUUGGAAUUGAGUUUGGGACUAAAA
rnacentral:piRNA from 1 species